CAGUAUAGCAGAUUUCGUGUAUUGCAUAUUUACAUAGUAGGAGUAUUAAAAAUUUAGAUUUAGCGCUAACUAAUGUAUGAUUUAAAGCUGAUUUAUUGAAACCUAUUUUUUAUAUUGGUGUAAGGUAACAACCACACAACAAUAAUAUCAAAAGGACAAUUAGAGGUCAGCAUACAGUCCGCAACAAAUCGAUAUACCAAGCUCUGUACUAUCAUCCCAAAGCAAAAAGAUAUAGAAGUAAGCAACUAUGUGUCUCCGUUUGCCUUCAACAAUGAGCAAAACCCAUACCUCUUAGCAAGCUAUUAAAGACUCCGACAUGACAAAUGCAAUACAACUCUAACGAGGAAACUAACGGCCUGAUUUAUGUACAAAACAAUUAAACGAAAAACAAAUAUGAUAUACAGCAACAAACGACAACCACUGAAUUACAGGCUCUUGACUUUGGACAGGCACAUACGGAAUGUGGCGGGUUAAACCCAAAACUAACUAUAAGUUUGAUUUAUUAAGAUAAUGUUCAACGCGAAAUGAUUUGACAUAUUUAUAAAUUAUUAGACGUCCUUUUCCAAAUCGGCCCUGGUAUCAUCCCGAUACUCCCAUAUCAUCCCAUGCGCUGGCUUAUUGGUUAAAAAAGAUAGGAUCGGUAAUGCUAAGAAAUAAUCGUAUUUGUAUUUAGUUAUAAAAAUGAAUCAAAUAGGACUUGACCAAUUUAAAACAUCUUCUAAACUAUUAUAAAUGUUUUCCUUCGUCCCAUAAAUUUUAGAUUUACAAUAUUUUUAAAUUGCACUUAAUAUUUACACCUGUCCAUAAAUAUAAAAAAAAAGAAAACAUUAUUAUACAACCGUUCAACAUAGUUCUAUCAUAUGUAAAUGAUGUUGUGGCAUCACUAUGGCAAAAUUUAACGAUGUGCGGGAUAACUUUGCAUGUAUGGAUUUUGUUCAGAGAAUGCCUGACAUUAUAACAGAAUAGCAGUUUAUUAAUAAAAGAUGGGAAACGUAUGUAGUGGAAAAGGAGGUGGUAUGGGACAAAUGAAUAAAUUUUGUAAAUGUGCUGGCGACCGACCUCACUCUGGACAUUCUAGGAAAGGAAGUGGUAAAGGACGUAAAGGAUCUCCCCCUGCCCAUGGAAGACGAAGGAAAGGCUCGCACAGUAGUUAACAUGCAAAACAUGUUUAUAUGUGUGGAUUUAUACAAUUGAAUUAUUUAUGUACAUAUCAUUUUCUAUGUUGAAUUGGUAUAUUUUAAAUAUUUGACACUAUAUCGACAAGUGAUGAAUUUUCACGACAGUAUUAUUUCAUGUUUAGAUUUUUUGAAAAAUGGGCAAUUCCUAAUGCUUUGAAGUUAAGUUGAAAAAUAUUAUUUGAGCAAAGUAUACACAAAAUGUUAGCUAUGUGAAGAAUGAUUGAAUUCUUGUUUUCAUAGAACAGUUAUUUUAUUUAUGUUGCUAUAUAAAUGCUCUAUGGAAGUAUUGUCCAGUAAUGUAAGAUUUUAUUAUUUUAUAAUGAUAUUAAUUAGUGAUUCUACAAAGAGUGAUAUUCAAAAAUCAUAAAGUCUGCUGAAUACAGAUUUUUUAAUCUUGCCAAGUGUAGUCUUUUUUAUAAUAAGACCUCCGCAUAUUUGUAAUUUGUAGGAAAUUAAUUUUUUAAUGAUUAUAGAGAAAAUACACUUUCUCAUUGGUUAAAGCUAUUCUUCUUGUCUGUUUUGGCUUACUUGUGAUCUUAAGUACCACUAAUUAAAAUAUAUUUCAGGAACCAUUUAAGAUAAAACCAAACUAAAGCCUCACAAUGUACAAAACAAAAUAAAAUUGUGUGCAUCAAAAGGUAAAGCCGUUUUCCCCCAAACUUAAUAACAGUAUAAAAGUACUUGCAAUUGUCGGUUGAAAAUAUAUUUCACUUUGAAAAUGGGACCAAUGAUUCAGCUUAUUUCUUCCUUCCUUCAGGGGUUACAAACAUAAUGAAGAUUAUAUACUUGUUUCUUUCUCUAAUAUUUGUUCUUAACGGUCAUUAAAUAAAAAGUUUACAAGAAUAAUCGCCUUUAUUGACUUUUCGGUUCUAAUGCUUCUGAACUGUAGCGUCUUCAUUUAUUAAAAAAAAAUUGUGCAUCUCAGAAUUCAUAUCUGUUCCUUGAUUAAACAAACUGCAAACACCAUUACAAAUUACAAAUAUUUCUCCCUGCCACUUGCAUCAGAGGUUCUUUAUGAUAAAAAUGCAUUGUCUCCAUCAUUUUAUAAUCGUCAACUUACAUAAAAUCUACGUCACGAAUGACAAUGACCACAUGUUCUAUCCCGUCCUUAUUCUUAGUUAUUUUAACUAUUUCCGAGUACAUAUAUGAAUUAUCACCGGAUGUAUGUUGCAUACAGGAAUGGGGUAAUCGUAAUCUGUAAUCGUAAUCGAUUGUAAUUGAGUACAUUUUUUCAAGUAAUCGACAGUAAUCUGUAAUCGACAACAUUUUCGAUUACAUGUAAUCGUAAUUUAAUCGAUUACAGCAAAAAUUAUGAUGUAAUCAUCGAUUACUUUUCGAUUACAUUUCGAUUACUUUAGUAAUAUAGUUUGAAAUAAAAACUAGUUUAAAUGAAAAUAGACAACUGCAUGUAUUCAUCAGUUCAAAGUACUGAUAAAAUAGAAUGUAUCAAUAUUACUUGAGAGUUUAUCAAAUACCUUAUUUAGAUCUGUUGUCUCAAGCUGCAUUAUGAUAAACCAGAUCUCCUAGGCUAACAAAUUUUACUUUAUUUCCAGCUUUUGAAAUAAAUGACUUCCAAUGCUUGUCAAUAAUUUGAGAUAUUUUUUAUUAAACACAAACAUGUUAAAAAUAAGAAAAUAGAUUCAAAAUAGUGAAAACAUAAAUGUACUUGUAUUCCUAAGUUAAGUUCUGUACUAUACUAAAGAAGAAUGGUUUUAUAUAUGUAAUAACAUUUUUUAAAGCUUAAUUUUCAAUUAUAUUUAGAACUUUAGCUUAGAGUAGAUAAACUGUUGAUUCGUCAUAGUGUUAUGACAUCAAAAUUAGGAAAGAAUACAAAACAUUUUUACAAUGAACCAAUGCAUUGAAAUUUUUGUUCAGUAAUAGAUACAUGUAUCCCAUUGUGUCACUAAAAUGUAAAUUGUUUAUGAUUUUGAAAAGAGAACAAAGAAUUCUCAAAAACCUUCUUGUUGUUAUAAUUACUAAUCAGAUGAUCAAAGACCUCUAAUCAAUGAGAUACAGACUAUGUUUUGAUUUCAAUUAUGUUUAAUUAAAUGAGAGAUUUAAUACAUGUUGUUGCCCUAAGGUUAUAAAUUGUUCUCCAUUGGCAAUUGUAUAACCUGUAAUUAGGUGGAUUAUCCAAACAAAAGGAUAAAUUCAUUCAUGUAACUAUAAACUAUAAAUUUCCAUCUUUUAAAAUUAGUUAAAAAACUAACUCUUCUUCUUUUUUAUAUAUUUUUUUUUCAUAGGAAACCUCUCAUACUUAUUAUAUUCAAAUAUACCAUCCUGUUAAAUAAGAGUAAAUAUCAAAAUUAAGUCAGUAUGACAGCAAAAAUUUGCAAACUAUGGAGAAAAUGACCUACAAUAUAAGGAAGCAUUUGAUACAAUUGUCGAUUUCAUUUCAAGAAUGUUCUCAUAUAUAGAUAUAAGAAGAUGUGGUAUGAGUGCCAAUGAGACAACUCUCAAUCCAAGUCAAAAUUUAUAAAAGUAAACCAUUAUAAGUCAUGUUUAUCAUCGCUCACUCAAGAAUAUUUAAAUAGUUUAGUUCCCCUCUAAGAGUGUCUAUCUAGAAAACGAUUUGAAAACAUUUGAAAACAAUGCUUAAAAAGCUGUUUUUGUAAAGUUCCAAAUUACCACUCUAAAUAAGUUGUGUUUAAACUUUCUUCAAUAUGUGUAAUUGAUAAUAAUCGAAAAGUAAUGUAAUUACUUUUGAUAAAGUAAUCGAUUGCAAUCGAUUACAUACAAAAUUCAGAGUAAUCGAUUAAUAAUCGAUUGCACAAAAAUCCUUCAUGUAAUCGAUUAUUAAUCGAUUACAUUUAUCAGUAAUCGUGCCCAUCCCUGGUUGCAUAUUCUCUCGAUCUAUAAUCUUUGAACGCUUUUGUGUUUGUUUCUGCUGAUAAAGCAGUCAACAACGUUGUUCUUGUUUCAUGUAAGUAUUAUAUGGAAAAAUUAAGACAAUAAAUAAUACGUUCAUACCUACAACUUAUACUGAAGAUAAGGUCGUAGAUGAACACGCUUUAACAACGUCUGAGCUGAGAACUGAUACUGAUCACCAUUAGACUUCCUAAAUUACUUUUGGAAAUUUAUUAAUUACGUUUUAUAUCAGCAUUCAUAAAAUUUCACUACA